CUCCCCUCUGCACUCAUACGUUUCCUUCCUUUUUUCCUUUUUCUCCAGAGUGCGGCUCCGCUGAUUGGCCGGUGUCAUCAUAUGACACGGCUGCUUCAGCGCUAAGGAGUGUGGGAAUUGUAGGCAUCUCAGCGACCAUGUGACCUCUGAGAUCCAAUCGCGAUGCACCCGCCUCCCCAACAGGCUAUAUAUAGCAUGAUAUGAUCAUUAUCUGUCUGCUACCAACAGGGUACUGACAGAUGUCUUUAUUCCUCUUAAAGAUAGGAGAUUAUCUGUGGACUUUUCAGCUGCAAUUGACUGGUCCUUGAUUUUUGCUGCAAACGACUAUCCUUUGACUUUCUAUCACCAGCUGAUGUUUGCUUGCAUUUAGACUGUUCAUCUAGUUAAAUACUCCAUAUGAAUUGAGGCUCUUCAGUGCCCAUGUUAUUGUCUUACUUAAUUCCCCUGUAUUCACCUUGAUUUUAUUACGCUUCAAGGCAUG